UGCAAAACAACUUUUUGUUAAGCGUACUCCC
rnacentral:piRNA from 1 species